rnacentral:rRNA from 1 species
AGCGAACGUUUGCGGCGGGCUUAACACAUGCAAGUCGAACGGGCUGUUCCUUCGGGGGCAGUCAGUGGCGCACGGGUGCGUAACACGUAGGUAAUCAACCCUCUGGUUGGGGAUAACACUUCGAAAGGAGUGCUAAUACCCGGUAUGGCGCAGCGGUCUUCGGAUCGCGGCGAGAAAGACCCGCAAGGGUUGCCAGAGGACGAGCCUGCGGCCCAUCAGCUAGUUGGCGAGGUAACGGUUCACCAAGGCGAAGACGGGUAGCUGGUCUGAGAGGAUGAUCAGCCACACUGGAACUGAGACACGGUCCAGACUCCUACGGGAGGCAGCAGUGGGGAAUAUUGCGCAAUGGGCGAAAGCCUGACGCAGCCACGCCGCGUGAGCGAUGAAGGCCUCGGUCGUAAGACUCUGUGGGGAGAGAAGAAUAAAGACCUGUGAAGAGCAGGCCUUGACGGUAUCUCCUUAGCAAGCACCGGCUAACUCCGUGCCAG